rnacentral:rRNA from 3 species
UUAUUGGAGAGUUUGAUCCUGGCUCAGGAUGAACGCUGGCGGCGUGCCUAAUACAUGCAAGUCGAGCGAAUGGAUUAAGAGCUUGCUCUUAUGAAGUUAGCGGCGGACGGGUGAGUAACACGUGGGUAACCUGCCCAUAAGACUGGGAUAACUCCGGGAAACCGGGGCUAAUACCGGAUAACAUUUUGAACUGCAUGGUUCGAAAUUGAAAGGCGGCUUCGGCUGUCACUUAUGGAUGGACCCGCGUCGCAUUAGCUAGUUGGUGAGGUAACGGCUCACCAAGGCAACGAUGCGUAGCCGACCUGAGAGGGUGAUCGGCCACACUGGGACUGAGACA